rnacentral:rRNA from 1 species
GAUGAACGCUGGCGGCGUGCCUAAUACAUGCAAGUCGAGCGAACAGACGAGGAGCUUGCUCCUCUGACGUUAGCGGCGGACGGGUGAGUAACACGUGGAUAACCUACCUAUAAGACUGGGAUAACUUCGGGAAACCGGAGCUAAUACCGGAUAAUAUAUUGAACCGCAUGGUUCAAUAGUGAAAGACGGUUUUGCUGUCACUUAUAGAUGGAUCCGCGCCGCAUUAGCUAGUUGGUACGGUAACGGCUUACCAAGGCAACGAUGCGUAGCCGACCUGAGAGGGUGAUCGGCCACACUGGAGCUGAGACACGGUCCAGACUCCUACGGGAGGCAGCAGUAGGGAAUCUUCCGCAAUGGGCGAAAGCUUGACGGAGCAACGCCGCGUGAGUGAUGAAGGUCUUCGGAUCGUAAAACUCUGUUAUUAGGGAAGAACAAAUGUGUAAGUAACUAUGCACGUCUUGACGGUACCUAAUCAGAAAGCCACGGCUAACUACGU